rnacentral:rRNA from 1 species
AUUUGAAAUCUGGUACCUUUGGUGCCCGAGUUGUAAUUUGAAGAUAGUUUUCUGGUAUUGGGCCCUUGUCUAUGUUCCUUGGAACAGGACGUCAUAGAGGGUGAGAAUCCCGUCUGGCGGGGCGCCCUUUGCUAUGUAGAUUUCUAUCGACGAGUCGAGUUGUUUGGGAAUGCAGCUCUAAGUGGGUGGUAAAUUCCAUCUAAAGCUAAAUAUUGGCGAGAGACCGAUAGCGAACAAGUACAGUGAUGGAAAGAUGAAAAGAACUUUGAAAAGAGAGUGAAAAAGUACGUGAAAUUGUUGAAAGGGAAGGAUAUUGGAUCAGACUUGGUGUUGCAUGAUUAUCUUCCCCUCGUGGGUUGUGCACUCGUGCUUCACUGGGCCAGCAUCGGUUCGGACGGCAAGAUAAUGACAUUGGAACGUGGCUCUUUCUUCGGUUAGAGUGUUAUAGCCCUUGUUGAUGUUGCCUGUCUGGACCGAGGACUGCGGCUUCUGCCUAGGAUGCUGGCGUAAUGAUUCAAUAUCGCCCGUCUUG